CUGAGAGUCACCAGCACAUGGAAGCAGGUGAAUAAAUCCUCCUGCACCAGAUUUGAUCCCUUCCUCAUCGCAGGAAACCAGCCCCUCCCACCUACACUGAUUGGAGGACUUGCCAGGGG